UGGUGGUGGUCAGGCCCUGGAAGAAACCCUGCGGGCCUUCGUUCUUCAUGAUGGAUUUCACCACAGACCACACCGAGCUGCAGGGAGAGGACGCAGAGACCUUCCUAACCUCAAGAAUGAGGAAUUGUUUUCAAUGCUUGGACAAGAAUCUGGCAAAGGAGCUUCAAGAGACCCGGAAGACUGCUUCCAGGAGUGCACGAAGAACUGGCGGACAAGGCUGGGAAAAGUCCGACUUCAGGGCGAUUACUUCCAAAGUGUAGCGUCAAUGGAUGACUGAAUGAAUGGGCAAUGAUAACGGCGCUGCGGAUCAGAAUAAUAAUAGACGAUGUCGCAGCACAUCUUUGUCGACAAGCUUUCAGGAGGUCUCUCUCUGCUCCAUUUGCAGGUACCAAAG